GGCAUAAGAAAAGGCAUAAAAGAAGGACCCAUGUGCUCUUGCUGUGGACUCAGACUCGCCAUCAGCUGCCCGCACACCAACAGCCCACCCAUCAACGGGGAGGCCCCUGAUGCCAACUGCCGGGGAAGAUGAGAUUUGACCUGGUGCAGUUCAAGCAUGGUGAUUCUUCAUGACGUGCAGAGUUAUGGCUAUAAAAACCUCAGAGACAAACCAAGCAAGUUUUAUUUCCAGAAAAACAAUCACAAGAAUUCCAAAAUUUUGAGGGCUGAGGGUCGUGUGUGUCUUCCCCCCAACUCUCCCCCCGCUCCCCUCUCAUCUUCCCAUCUUGUAAAACAUCACAACAAAACCAAGCAUCUUCGGGAACUUUGAAGAAAACUGGGAAAUUUUCCCAUCCAUUUCCCAUCCACGU